UAAAAAUCAGUCUUCACUGGGAUUCGAACCCAGGACGCCAAGCCCUCAACCGAUCAACAGCCUUGCCCUCUGACAUAGACACGAACUGGUCAAAGAUGUCCUGCAAGAAAAAAACUCAAACUGAUAGAAAAGUAUCGACUGACCUAGCAGACUUAUCCAGUCUUCGGGAUGAGAAUCAAGAUACA
rnacentral:sRNA from 1 species